GCUUGAUGUGCCUGCUCCUUUGCAUAUUCUUUGAACCGAUUCUGAAACCAUUCUGUGGCACUGAAACUACUAUUGGCUAAUUGUGGGGCUUCCACGUUAUUAAAUGGAUGAGCAUCAAGACAUUACAAGGUCCAAAUGUCCAAGAGGAAGAAGAUCAAUGUCUCAGGCCUAAAGCAGCCUGACUGAAGAGGGAAACUCCCAAAUGGAGGAAAAUCUUCACAAAUCCAACUCAAGUCAGUGGAGUCAGUUGAAGUCCAAUGUAUUAAACUCUUGAGUGUAGCCCAUACCGUAACCACCAGGACUGGAUCAAUAUAAACAAUGCUGAAAUGUGACAAAAAUGUGCAGCCCUCAUUGCCUCACAGAAUAACCCAAGAAAUCAGCAUCCCAAUGUAGGCUGACUCCCAAAGACAAAUCUGACAAAGAUAAAGGAUGUGGCGAGAACAGAAAGCCCAAGUGGACCAACAAUAUUAUGUUCAUCAUGGUAUAUGAAGUUUUUUUGUGUCACCAAAGGCAUUAAGCUCAAAUGAAUAGAGUCCCUUUUGCAUCCAGUAUGAUGUUUCUCUUCAAGACGACAAAGCCAUCCCACAUACUCUGGAAAAAGAAAUUUGAAUAACAACUCUGCCAUGAAUCCUGGUGAUACAUAAUUCACUGUGCUAUUCCUAGUACCCUGUGUAGAAUUCAUGAUCAUGAUCAACUGCCAUCAGUGGGAAAGCUGCAACAAGCAAUCAAUUUGAAAAAAAAUCCAACAAAGCCCGCAGACUUGAAUGUAUCCUAGUUGAAAUCUUUAAAGCAGGAGGAUUUUUGUUCACAUCAAGACUCCUUGUACUCAUUCUAUGGAUUUAGGAUGUCCAUGAAACCUAAUCACAAAUAUGCAAUUACUUCAUGAUGACAUCUUGCAAGUGUCUUGAGUGGGAAAACUGAUAGAGACACCAUCAAAUCCAGAUCAGGGUCAUGUAAGGCUGUUUGAUUGUCUCCAUAUACUCAAAAUAUACCCAACAGUGGCUAUUCACCUCAGCAAAGAACUACUGCCCUCUGGUGUCUGUAUUAAUGAUGGUGUAGAUGGAAAUGUUCAGUCAUCUCUGUACCAAAACUGACCACCAUAAAGAUAUUUUAUACAUAAUUUGAGGAAGACUGGUAUUGUCUACUUUUGCCAGAUCUACAAGCCAGUUUCAAUCUCAUCAAUUUUACAGUCCAGAAAAUUGGCCUGUCUUUGAAGGUUGCUAUCACAAAUGUGUAUAUCAACACAUAUCUGGUCCCACCUCCCAUAUAUGUCAAAAGGAGACACUCUGGAAUAUGUUGACCACUUUCCAUUCAUUGGCAAAUAUCUCUCCCAAAAGGCCACCAUUGAUGAGAUCCAAAACUGGAUCGGCUACACUAGCUCUGGCAGUGAACGAUUGAUAUCAAAAACUGCCACAAAAUCAACAAAAGUCCUAGUGUGCAGCCUAGUUAUUGCUACAUUCCUAUACUACAGAGAGACAUAGACAAUGUAUGAGCAGUACACAAGAGCACUGGAGAUAUUUAAUCAGCAUUGUCUCUGCCAAAUCUUCAGGAUUCAAUUGAACAACAGUCAUGUAAAGAUUGUAAAGUAUCCUUCUUGAGGCCAGUUCCACAAGAAUUGAGGCAAACCAUUGCAAAAUUAUACUCCAGUGGAAUGGACACUGUUGGGAUAAAAGCUGACAUCUCCUCCUCUGUCAAGUAGAGCUCCUACUCCCUGUAAAUGUAAAUAAAUUCUCUGAGACAUUAAAUUAUUUUUUAAAUACCA